AGAAUCAACGCUGGCGGCGUGCCUCAGACAUGCAAGUCGAACGGUUAAAGCUCUCUUCGGAGAGUGUAUAGAGUGGCGCACGGGUGAGUAACACGUAAGUAAUCUACCUUUGAGUGGGGAAUAACAGUCGGAAACGGCUGCUAAUACCGCAUAAUGCAGCGGCAUCGCAAGAUGACAGUUGUUAAAAGGAGCAAUCCGACUUAAAAGAGGAGCUUGCGGCAGAUUAGCUUGUUGGUAAGGUAACGGCUUACAAGGCUACGAUCUGUAUCCGGUCUAAGAGGACGGUCGGACACACUGACACUAGAAUAACGGGUCAGACUCCGUACGGGAGCAGCAGGUCGGGUAAGUUUUGGGACAAGUGGGCGAAAGCCGUAGACCCAGCCAACGCCGCGUAGAAGGAGUAGAAGUUAGUUUACGGUAUAGUAAACGUUACGAAAGUAAAGUAAGGAAAGAAUAAAGUAGUAACGUUAACUUAAUUUAA
rnacentral:rRNA from 1 species